rnacentral:lncRNA from 1 species
UUUUUUUUUUUUGCAAACUUUGGCAUGUCAUAACUCUCUCAUCGUAGAUCCGAUUUGUGCGUGUAGCAUAUCAAAAUGUUCGUCUCGACGAGUGCAUCAUUUCUUCUCAUUGCAUCAUUUUCAUUUGAGCUCAUAUUGAUGCCCGCAAUGUCGUUGGAAGAGGGCUAUGUGAUGAAUUUGUCAGAUCUGUUUCAGCAAAUGGCAUUUUGUCAUUUUUGCCAUGAUUAAUGUGUGCAUGCUAUGAUCCCGAGCUCUACAUGUGUUUUGUUAUAUGCCAUGUCAUAUUUACAGAGGUGAUUGCCAUAUAUUUUUGUGAUAUUCGUGGUGACUAGCACAAGCUUGCAAAGUUUCAUAAUCGUUAAUGCUGAUUUCAGGGACUUAGAAUUUCUCCAAGUCCUUGUUCUGUUUUUGUUGUUAUGCCAUAUGUUCAUGUUGUUUCCUAGUGAUCCGUGCCUAUUUUGAGGAUGAUCAAUAAGGAUGCUUUGUUAACAUUGUGGUGCUAUAUCCAUCCAUGUCUUUGUUUGCAAUUAUGGAUUACCCUAGCUUGACUCAAUCGAGCUCUACUUUGGCUAUAAAGUGAAUCCUGGCAGAUUGUUGACAUGUUUAGCGAUUUUGCCGAGGAUGUUGCUAUUGAUCCGGGCAUGCUAUGUUAUUGUUCUUGCCAUGUCUAGCUCCUAUGCCAGGCCUUCUUCAUGGGUGUAUGCUUAGUUUGUCAUGAAAUGCUCUGUAGUGAGUGCAUCGAGCUCGUAAACAUGCCUACUCAUUAACUGUUUUGCAUGCUCCAGUUUUUCACUAAGUCUGAAUCUGUUUAUGUUUUUGCCAUGUUCACAUGCUUGCAAUUGUAUUUUCUGAUCCCUUUUGGCUCAAGAUCACUAAGGGACUUUUCUUAAGUGCUUUGAGUAGCUUCAUGCCAUGCCUUGCCUUUCCAUGUUAAGUUCCUGUAGCAUGUAGUUUUCAUGCUCUAAAGUUUGCUUCCUGAUGAUAAAUUCCAGACUUGUGUUAAUUUCACUAAGUCUGAAACAUGUUAUCAUUUGCACUUUUGCCAUGCUUGUUUGAACCUGCUAAUGGAUGAAUUAGCCGUAGCUUAGUGUUCAUCUUUUGUCAAGCAUCAUGAGUGGAUCCCUGCCAUGUAUUUUGUUGUCAUGUUUGAGUGUUGUAGUAUAUUUAUCUUGAUGCAUUUAGUUGGUCACUUGCUGAUUAUCGCAGACCGGUGCCAUAUUUGUUUUGCUUGCCAUUUCCAAACCGUGUAUCCGAUUCUGGUGAUCUUCAUAUCGAUUUCAACCGAAAUCACCUCACCUUUCCAGUGGCACUCUUAGAUUUCCAAUUUGAGGCCAGGUUCAAUCAUUCCUUGUCAAAUCUUGCAUAUGCAUCACAUACCGCAUCCUGCAUAUCAUACCAUGUUUGCAUCAUGUUGCUUGAGCAUUGCACGUGGUUGAUUGUGCUCCUUUUGGCUUGUUGUUCUUGUUUGGGUAGAGCAGGGAGAUGAGUUCGUGAAUGAGGAGCUUGUUGAGUUCGCUUAUGAGGAUCAAGUCAACUCUGACAACUUUGCAGGCAAGAUGAUCAUAUCCUCGAAAUCACUUCUAUCUUUGCUUGCUAGAUGCUCGCUCUUUUGCUAUGCCUAUGCUACAAUACCUACCACUUGCUUAUCAUGCCUCCCAUAUUUCCAUGUCAAACCUCUAACCCACCAUGUCCUAGCAAACCAUUGUUUGGCUAUGUUACCGCUUUGCUCAGCCCCUCUUAUAGCGUUGCUAGUUGCAGGUGAAGAUUGGAGAUCGUUCCUUGUUGGAACAUUGUUUAUUGUUGGGAUAUCACAAUAUUAUCUUGUUAUUUUAAUGCACCUAUAUACUUGGUAAAGGGUGGAAGGCUCGGCCUUAUGCCUGGUGUUUUGUUCCACUCUUGCCGCCCUAGUUUCCGUCAUAUCGGUGUUAUGUUCCCGGAUUUUGCGUUCCUUACGCGGUUGGGCUAUAAUGGGAACCCCUUGACAGUUCACCUUGAAUAAAACUCCUCCAGCAAUGCCCAACCUUGGUUUUACCAUUUGCCACCUAGCCUCUUUUUCCCUUGGGUUUCCGGAGCCCAAGGGUCAUCUUUAUUUAAACCCCCCUUGGCCAGUGCUCCUCUGAGUGUUGGUCCGAACUAGGCAGCCUGCGGGGCCACCUCGGGGAAACUCGAGGGUUGGUUUUACUUGUAGCUUGACCUAUCUGAGUGUGCCCUGAGAACGAGAUAUGUGUAGCUCCUAUCAGGAUUUGUCGGCACAUUCGGGCGGUGUUGCUGGACUUGUUUUACCAUUGUCGAGGAUGUCUUGUAACCGGGAUGCCGAGUCUGAUCGGAAUGUCUUGGGAGAAGGAAUAUCCUUCGUUGACCGUGAGAGCUUGUGAUCGACUAAGUUGGGACUCCCCUACAGGGAUUUGAACUUUUGAAAGCCGUGCUCGCGGUUAUGGGCAGAUGGGAAUUUGUUAAUGUCCGGUUGUAGAUAACCUGAAACUUAACUUCAUUAAAAUGAAUCAACCGCGUGUGUAACCGUGAUGGUCUCUUCUCGGCGGAAUCCGGGAAGUGAACACAGUGUUGGAGUAAUGCUUGACGUAGGUUGUUCUAGGAUCACUUCUUGAUCAUAGUGGUCCGACCGUGCUUUUGCCUUCUCUUCUCGCUCUCAUUUGCGUAUGUUAGCCACCAUAUAUGCUAGUCGCUUGCUGCAGCUCCACAUCAUACCUUGCCUUACAUAUAAGCUUAAAUAGUCUUGAUCGCGAGGGUGCGAGGUGCGAGAUUGCAGAGUCCCCGUGACUCACAGUUUACUCCCAAAACCAGAUGCAGGGACCGAUGAUACCGUUCCAGACGAUGCGCUUGAGCUCAAGUGGGAGUUCGAUGAAGACUCUCAUCGUUACUAUGUGUCUUUCCCAAAUGAUCAGUAGUGGUGCCUAGUUGGGGCAAUCGGGGACUUUGUCGCAUGUGGGGGUUGAUCUUUAUUUUGGUACCGUAGUCGGACCAUGAGUGUAUUGGAUGAUUGUAAUGUUAUUCAUGUAUUUGUGUGACGUGGCGAGUGUAAGCCAACUAUGUAUCCUUUCCCCUUUUAUUUAUUUACAUGGGAUGUUGUGAAGAUUACCUUGCUUGCGACAUUGCUUUCAAUGCGGUUAUGCCUCUAAGUCGUGCUUCAACACGUAGGAGAUAUAGCCGCAUCGAGGGUGUUACAUUCUCCUACUGGUUUGAUAACCUUGGUCUCAUCACUGAGGGAAAUACCUACCGUAGUUGUGCUGCAUCAUCCCUUCCUCUUUGGGGAAAUACUGACGUAGCUCAAGCCGCAUCAAAAGGAAUUUAUGGCGCUGUUGCCGGGGAGACAUCACCAAUAUCUACCAGGUUCCUAAUCACAAAUCUCAUCUCCUUGCAAUUUACAUUAUUUGCCAUUUGCCUCUCAUUUUCAUCUCCCCCACUUCACAAAAUUUGCCAUUUUAUUCGCCCUCUUUUUCAUUCGCCGUUUUAUCGUCAGAUUUGUUUUUCGUGUGCAAUUUUGUUAGUCACUUUUUGUCAUUAUAGAACUAGAAAUAAAGAUGAAAAUACUUAGAUUUUUGCAUUAUGCCUAGCUAGGGGCAUAAAAUGAUAACGCUUGUUGGGAGGCAAUCCAAUGAAUAAAAUUUAUUUUUGUCUUUUUCUUUCUGUUCUUGAGCGUUUGCACAAUUAUACUAUUGUUAUGAUUGUGUUUUUUAUGUUUUAAUUAUCGUUUGUGCCAAGCAAAGCCUUUGGGAUGAUUUUGGGUGAUAGUUGAUUCGAUCUUGCUAAAAAACAGAAAGUUUUGCGUUUAGAAAAAUAAUUUUUGUUUUUAACAGGAGCUCGAUAAAAUCCUGAUUUUUGUACACAAGACGGGUAUACAAAUUUCCCAUGUUGUCCUAAUGUUUCAGAAUUUUUGGAGUAACAAAAUUAUUCAAAGUUUUCAGAUUACUAUAGAUAGUUCUGUUUUUAAUAGAUUCUAUUUCUUUGCAUUGUGUGCUUAUUUCGAUGAAUCUAUGGUUUGUAUUGGAGGGUAUAAUCUAUACAAAAGUUGGAAUACAUUAGAUAUAAUGCAAAAAUAAAAUAUGAAUGGGUUUGCAAUAGUACUUAUAGUAGUGAUUUGCUUUGUUAGACUAACGGAUCUCACGAAGGUUUUGUUAAGUUUUGUGUGAUUGAAGUUUUCAAGUUUUGGGUGAGAUCAUGAUGGAUGAAGGAAUAAGGAGUAAGAAGAGCCUAAGCUUGGGGAUGCCCCAUGGCAUCCAAACCAUUAUCUAAAAGAGAAGCAAUCAACUAAGCUUGGGGAUGCCUGAGUGGCAUCCUCUCUUUCUUCUAACGACCAUCGGUAUUUUACUUGGACCUAUAUUUUUAUUCGUCACAUAUCAUGAGUUUUGCUUGGAGCGUCUUGUAUGAUAUGAGUCUUUGCUUGUUUUGCUUCUUAUUUUUAGUCAUCUAUCCUUGAUGUACACACCUAUUUGAGAGAGCCAAAAUUAUGCUAUAAAUUUUUAGAAUUGCUAUGUAUGUGUCAUUUAAAUCUUUUUGAGCUAUGGAAUUGCUCUAGUGCUUCACUUAUAUCUUUUUUUAGCAUUACGUGCUUUAAUAUUUUUGAAGAAAUGCUCUGAUGCUUCACUUAGAUUUAUUUGAGAGUUAGUAAUUUUUUAAAGAAAUUCUAGCAUGCUUCACUUACAUUAUUUUAAGAGAAGAUUUUUUAUAUGCUCAUGUUCUUCACUUAGAUUUGUUUGAGCUAUCAAAACCAACAUAAGAAAUUAGUCCCAAAGUGAUAGAUAUUCAAGAGGGAUAUAAUAAGAACUUUCAUGAAGAACACUGGAAAAAAUAAACUUGAUUCCUUGUAAUAUGUGAGUCAUGUUGAUGAGUAAUUUUACUUUAGUAUGAAUAUUUGUGUUAAGGUUUGUGAUUCCCUAUGCAAGCACGAAAGUCAAUGGUUAUGCAAUAAAAUUAUAUCCUACUUGUGGUGCUGUAUUCAGUGUUAGUUAUUCUUAAUGCUCGCUUAUGAGAUUUUUCGUUUCUUGGUUGGAUGCUUCUCAAUCUUUUGCUAUCCUUCAUUUGCACUAAGUAUGAUCACUACUUGUGCGUCUAAAAUCCUUAAACCCAGUUUUGCCACAUGAGUCCACUAUACCUACCUAUACAUGGUAUUCUUUUGCCGUUCUAAGCAAAUUUGUAUGUGCCAUCUCUAACUUUCAAAAUAAAUUUCUCUUUUGUGUGCUCGUAACGCUCAUGAAACGGUAGGGGGUGGUUGAUAUGUUUCCAUGCUAGAUGUGUUAUUCUCAAGAUGAGUGUUUAUUCACUUGUCAUUGCACGAGAGUACAACAAAGGUAAUGGGGAUGCCCAGUCCCAAAAUGAAAAAUGAAUUUACUUUAUGUUAUCAAAUAAUAAAUUCCUUGGAAAGUGUUGGUAUGGACGGCACAUGUGGAUCCAAUUAGCCGUGCAAUGUGAAAGUAUGGUGGAAAAAGGAAUAAUCUUUAUUUUCUGUUUGGGACCUGCAUAUGAUAUAUCUAGCAUGGAAAGUAUUGGGAACAUCUCGAUCAUUUUCAUGAUAGGAAAUGCGUGCCACCCAAGAUUUUUUAUCUCUAUGUUUUCGCUUUGAGCUCUGGCACCUCUACAAAUCCCUACUUCCCUCUGCGAAGUGCCUUUCUUUUACUUUAUGCAAUUCUUUUAUUUGAGUCUCGAUCUUCUCUUAUAAAGAACCAACUAAGGGGCACUAUGAUCGUACUUGAGCAUUGGUUGUAGCUAAUAUGCGAGUGUGUUUCAUGAAUGUAUCAAUGAUUAGGCACAAUGGGCUAGGGAUAGCUUGCUUUAGUGUUGAUAUUUUGAAAGACAUGGUUGCUUGUUGAUAUGCUUGAGUAUUGAAAUCUUCAUGUCAAAACUAGACUAUUUCUUUGAAUCAUCUAAAAGUCCAAAUGUCCAUGCUACAAAGAAAAUAAUAUGUGAUGAACAUGUUAGGCAGCAUUCCACAUCAAAAAAUUUGUUUUUAUCAUUUACCUACUCGAGGACGAGCAGGAAUUAAGCUUAGGGAUGCUGAUACGUCUCCAACGUAUCUAUAAUUUUUUUAUUGUUCCAUGUUGUUAUAUUAUCAUUCUUGGAUGUUUUACAAUCAUUUUAUAGCAACUUUAUAUCAUUUUUUGGACUAACGUAUUGACAUAGGGCCUAGUGCUAGUUGCUGUUUUUUGCUUGUUUUUUUUACUUCGCAGAAAAUCAAUACCAAACGGAGUCCAAACACAGCGAAACUUUUUGGAGAAUUUUUCUGGGCCAGAAGACACACGUUGGGCCAAAGAAGUACUUGAGGGGUGCCCCGAGGGGGCACAACCCACCUGGGCGUUCCUGGGGGCCCAAGCGUGCCCUGGUGGGUUGUGCCCACCUCGGUGGCCUCCCACACUGCCUCUUUGCUCUAUAAAUACCCCAAUAUUCCAGAAACCCUAGGGGAGUCGACGAAAAUCAUUUCCAGCCACCGCAUGUUCCAGAAACCAUAGAUCCAAUCUAGACACCAUCACAGAGGGUGUCAUGGACUUGACCCGGCAGAUGUCCUGGCGCAAGGAGUUAGUCGUGGAGCCAUCACAACUAGGUUAGCUUGAUGGGGUUAAACAGGACAAAAGACACAGAGAGUUUACCCAGGUUCAACCCCUCUCAACGAGGUAAAAGCCUACUCUGGCUUUGUGUUGUAUUGCUAGGGUUUUGAUUACCAGGGAGCGAAUACGCUUGACCUUGCUCUCGAUUGUUUGUUACUUGAGUUAACCUGCUACCGGGUCACCCCUUUAUAUACACAGGUUGAUGCCUGACGGCUUACAGAGUCCCGACCGGUUCAUACACAAUGUGUUCAGCUCGGUGACUAACUAAGCUUGCCUUACAAUACAAGUUAUACAUAUGGCGCUUCAUCCUCUUGGGCCUCAAGUCGCCUCUGGGUCUUGGGUCGUCAAUGGGCUUGCUAUGAUCCACCAUCUUCAUUGAUAAGUCGCCAGUGCUAUGGCCCGGCCCCUCCUGGGCGGUUCAUACCCAGUAGUUAUAUCCCCAACUUUAGGCCCCAGGUUGAUCUGAACUUUGUUCACAUCAAUCUUCAAUACCUAACUUGUCAAAUCUUGCAUCGUCCUUUUAACAACUUUGCUGUAACCCGCCGUGAACGUCGGCUCAUAGAAUUUCUUUAACCCGCCAUGAUGUCAUUUCGCAUUAAUGUUGUGCGAGGCCCAAAACAUCUUUAACUGAUCCUUAUCUUAAUGAUCAUCCGAAAAUCAAGGAGUUCAUAUAGCCACAUGAAAAUUUCGGCCUCCUUGAUUCCCGUGCAUGCCCUGUAUCCACCCCUUAUAAAUAGGGGCGGGGGUCCUUUUCAUUCCCCCCUUGCCUCCUCGUCUUUGUCUUCCUCUCACGACUCCUCUGCAGCCUCGAGCUCCGCCGCCGCCGUCCUCCAUCUGCCGCACCACCUCAGGCCGCUGCAUCAACCUGACGGGUCCAGAGAACGCCGAUGCUCCACCGCAAUCCAUCUGCAACCGUAAGUGUUCAUCUCCUUCAAUCUCAGAUCUGCAAUAGGGUUAGCCUUGUUCAUCAGUGUUCUUCAUCGUUUUUCGUCUUCUCCUUUAGUUCGAGUGGCCUUUGACCUGAACAUGAUAUGAAACUUAUGCAGUAGCAGUUUAGCAUUUGUUUUUAACAUCAGAAUACUUCCUCACCAUAGAAAAUACCAUCGGAGCACACAGACUUUUCUGUUGCCACCACCUUAGGUUUAGAAUUUAUUGUCUUUUCUGAACUGCUUGUAGAUCCAAAAUUAUAGUUCCAGUAUGUGAAACCUGUUUGUCCAUCACUUAGCAAGAUUUUCACCAAUAGAUUUGAAGUACCAUAACUACCAUGGCGCCUUAUAUCAUAAACCGUGAUCCUCCAUACAACAUUAGGCACCGUUUAAGCCGCCAUCAUACGCUUUAUCACUUGUAUAACCCGGCCAUGUUCUCCAGCUUAACCAUGCUUGUUUAUUCAUCCUCAUAAUUUGGUUCUGCACAAUAUACUUGACUAUUAAACUCUAUUCGGUUUAAUAGCAGAAUCCUUAAUCUGGUAGGUACCAUUAGUCCCCUUUUAAGCCACCAAUAUGAAUAUCCGCGUACUUCAAUGUUCAUCUUCCAACUUAACCUGUCGGCCAUUUAUAGCACUUUACCUUUGAACCCAUGGUCCUUAUUAACAGCAUAGUUUUAAACCAGUAAUAUUUCUUUCUUUUAGGCUUUCAACCUCCAAAUGGGCAAAACUAUCACUGCCUGCAACUGGGUCAUUUCCCGGGUCACCGAGGAAUACUUGAACGAAUAUGUUCAGACAGGCGUCCUGGCCAAAAAGGAUGUCAUCCAUUGGAGGGUCCCAGGCACCGAAACUCCACCUGAGCCCAAGGAUGGUGAAGUAGUUGUCUUCAUUGAUCAUAUACUUCGGGGCCUCAACCCUCCCGGCUCAAAAUUCUUUCGCGAUGUGUUGCAUUUCUUCAAGAUCCAUCCACAAGAUAUCGUCCCAAACUCUGUUUCAAACAUCUGCAACUUCCAAGUAUGUUGCAAGGUGUACCUUCAACAAGAGCCCACUGUAGAGCUAUUCAGGGAGUUUUAUUAUUUAAACCAGCAGAACAAAUCCACAGAUGGGCCCAGCCUAGAGCUAGGCGGCAUUUCCAUACAACGACAGAAAGAAGCCACAUUCCCAGCCGCCAACUUGCCUAGUCAUCCCAAAGACUAGAACCAAACCUGGUUUUAUUGCAAAGACACUUCUCCAGAAGGGGAAAAAUCCUCUGCCGGGUUAUCAUACCAGCCGACUUUGCAACAGGCAUCCUCUUCCAGAUCGCAUUAGUACAGCAGAGCAGAAGAAGUAUAUGCCAGAUUUUUCAAAGAUCCGGGCCUUGAUGGCCAACGGCUUGACUGGAAUUGAUCUGGUUCGAUGCUGGGUGCUACCUCUUGAGCACUACGUUGGUUUUCCCCGAAGAGGAAGGGAUGAUGCAGCAAAGUAGCGUAAGUAUUUCCCUUAGUUUUUGAGAACCAACAUAUCAAUCCAGUAGGAGGCUACACGCGAGUCCCUCGUACCUGCACAAAACAAAUAAAUCCUCGCAACCAACGCGAAUAGGGGUUGUCAAUCCCUACACGGCCACUUACGAGAGUGAGAUCUAAUAGAUAUGAUAAGAUAAUAUUUUUGGUAUUUUUCUGAUAAAGAUGCAAAGUAAAAUAAAGGCAAAGUAAAGAGCAAAGGAAAUAACUAAGUAGUAGGAGAUUAAUAUGAUAAAGAUAGACCCGGGGGCCAUAAGUUUCACUAGUGGCUUCUCUCGAGAGCAUAAGUAUUCUACGGUGGGUGAACAAAUUACUGUUGAGCAAUUGACAGAAUUGAGCAUAGUUAUGAGAAUAUCUAGGUAUGAUCAUGUAUAUAGGCAUCACGUCCGAGACAAGUAGACCGACUCCUGCCUGCAUCUACUACUAUUACUCCACUCAUCGACCGCUAUCCAGCAUGCAUCUAGAGUAUUAAGUUAAAAACAGAGUAACACCUUAAGCAAGAUGACAUGAUGUAGAGGGAUAAAUUCAUGCAAUAUGAUGAAAACCCCAUCUUGUUAUCCUCGAUGGCAACAAUACAAUACGUGCCUUGUUGCCCCUGCUGUCACUGGGAAAGGACACCGCAAGAUUGAACCCAAAGCUAAGCACUUCUCCCAUUGCAAGAAAGAUCAAUCUAGUAGGCCAAACCAAACUGAUAAUUCGAAGAGACUUGCAAAGAUAACCAAUCAUACAUAAAAGAAUUCACAGAAGAUUCAAAUAUUGUUCAUAGAUAGACUUGAUCAUAAACCCACAAUUCAUCGGUCUCAACAAACACACCGCAAAAAGAAGAUUACAUCGAAUAGUUCUCCACAAGAGAGAGGGAGAACAUUGUAUUGAGAUCCAAAAAGAGAGAAGAAGCCAUCUAGCUAAUAACUAUGGACUCGUAGGUCUGAGGUAAACUACUCACACUUCAUCGGAGGGGCUAUGGUGUUGAUGUAGAAGCCCUCCGUGAUCGAUUCCCCCUCCGGCGGAGCUCCGGAACAGGCUCCAAGAUGGGAUCUCGUGGAUACAGAAAGUUGCGGCGAUGGAAUUAGGUUUUGGCUCCGUAUCUGAUCGUUUGGGGGUACGUAGGUAUAUAUAGGAGGAAGGAGUACGUCGGCGGAGCAACAGGGGGCCCACGAGAGUUUUCAAUAAUUUAUCUUCUUCUUGCUCUAAAAGGUUAGCACUAAUAAUAAUAGGAUAUAUAUUCUUUUCUUCAAGAUAAGCAUAUUUAAGAGUAUCAAGCAAUGGUUUAAGCUCAAACACGGGAUCACCCUUGGGUGGAGGAGGAUCCCCUAGAAUUUCGAAUGGCAAGUUGUGUUUCAAAAUAGGUCCCUGUUUAAAGAAUACUUCAUCUAUUUAACUUCUUUCAUUCAUAAACAUAUCGUUUUCAUGGUCUAGCAAAUAUUGUUCUAAAGGAUCAUUAGGAGGCAUGGCAAUAGAAGCAAGACCAAUAAUUUCAUCUUUACUAGGCAAUUCUUUAUCAUGGGGUUAUCUACAAAAUUUAGCAAAAUUAAAAUCAUGAGAUAUAUCCUCUAAACCAACAGAAACAACAUCCUUUUUACAGUCUAUCUAAGCAUUAACAGUAUUCAAGAAGGGUCUACAAAAUAUAAUUGGACAAAAGUCAUCUUGUGGGGAACCAAGAACAAGGAAAUCAGUAGGAUAUUUAACUUUCCCACACAAGACUUCAACAUCUCUAACAAUCCCAAUCGGUGAAAUAGUAUCUCUAUUGGCAAGCUUAAGUGUAACAUCAAUAUCUUCUAUCUCAGCAGGUGCAAUAUCAUGCAUAAUUUCUUCAUAUAAAGAAUGAGUUAUUGCACUCGCACUAGCACCCAUAUCACAUAAGCCAUGAUAGCAAUGAUCUCCUAUUUUAACAGAAACAACAGGCAUGCCAACAAUAGGUGUAUGUUUAUUUUUAGUAUGGGGUCUAGCAAUUCUAUCAGCUUCAUCACAGAAGUAAAUAACAUGCCCAUCAAUAUUAUCAACCAAGAGAUCUUUAACUAUAGCAAUACUAGGUUCAACAUUAAUUUGCUCAGGGGGUGUAUGGGUUCUAAUAUUACUUUUUUGACCACAGUUGAAGCUUUAGCAUGAUCCUUUAUUCUAGCAGGAAAAGGUGGUUUCUCAAUAUAAGCGGUAGGAACAAUAGGAUCAACAUUAUAAGUGAUAGUCUUUUCUUCAACUUUAACAGGUUCAACUACUUUUACUUCAAUGGGAGGAUGAUAUUUAAGCCACUUCUCCUUAGGGAGAUCAACACGAGUAGCAAAUGAUUCACAGAAAGAAGCUAGUAUCUCAGAGUCAAGUCCAUAUUUAGUGCUAAAUUCACGAGAAGCAUCGGUAUCCAUAAAAGAUUUAACAAAAUCAAACUUAGGUGUUAUACUUGACUCCUUACCUUUGUCGAGUUCCCAAUCUUCAGAGUUGCGUUUAAUUCUUUUCAAUAAAUCCCAUCUGAAUUCAAUAGUCUUCAUCAUAAAAGAACCAAUACAAGAAGUAUCGAGCAUGGAGCGAUUAUUGAGAGAAAGCCGAGCAUAAUUUUUUUGAAUAAUAAUUUCUCUUGAGAGCUCAUGAUUGGGGCAUGAAUAUAACAUUGACUUAAGACUCCCCCAAGCUUGAGCUAUGCUUUCUCCUUUGAGAGGCCAAAAAUUGUAUAUAUAUAUAUAUAUAUAUAUAUAAUUAUGAUCACGAUGAACCAGAUGCAUAUGAUAAAACUUCUGAUUAAAUUCCAAUUUCAAUCGGUUGUAGUUCCAUGAUCCAAUAUCAUCACAUAGCCUAAAUCAUGUCAAUGCCUUUCCCUUCAAAGAUAAAGGAAAUACCUUCUUCUUGAUAACAUCCUCGGGCAUACCUGCAAGAUUAAAUAAUCCACAAACUUCAUCCACAUAGAUUAGGUGCAAAUCGGGAUGCAAUGUUCCAUCUCCUGUAAAAGGAUUAGUUAGUAUUUUAUCUAUCAUACCCAAAGGAAUUUCAAAGUAAACAUUUUUAGUAGGUUCAGUAGGUUGAGGAGCAACACUUUGCUCUACUGGUCGGGGUGAAGAUACCCCAAAUAGGCCCCUCAAAGGAUUACAUUCCAUAGUAACAAGUGACACUAAAUUUCAGCACACUAUAUAAAAUUUUCCUUACCAAAUUCCACUUACCAAAGGCUCUUCACUCCCCGAAAAUGGCGCUAGAAAAGAGUCUUGAUGACCCACAAGUAUAGGGGAUCUAUCAUAGUCCUUUUGAAGUAUGAGUGUCGAACCCAACGAGGAGCAGAACGAAAUGAGAAGCGGUUUUCAGUAAAGUAUUCUCUGCAAGCACUGAAAUUAUCGGUAACAGAUAGUUUUGUGAUAAGGUAAUUCUUAACGGCUAACAAGUAAUAAAAGUAAACAAGGUGCAACAAGGUGGCCCAAUCCUUUUUGUAGCAAAGUACAAGCCUAUACAAACUCUUAUAUAAAGGAAAGCGCUCCCGAGGACACAUGGGAAUUAUCGUCAAGCUAGUUUUCAUCAUGCUCAUGUGAUUCACGUUCGUUACUUUGAUAAUUUGAUAUGUGGGUGGACCGGUGCUUGGGUAUUGCCCUUCCUUGGACAAGCAUCCCACUUAUGAUUAAUCCCUCUUGCAAGCAUCCGCAACUACAAAAGAAGUAUUAAGGUAAACCUAACCAUAGCAUGAAACAUAUGGAUCCAAAUCAGCCCCUUAUGAAGCAACGCAUAAACUAGGGUUUAAGCUUCUGUCACUCUAGCACCCCAUCAUCUACUUAUUAGUUCCCAAUGCCUUAACCUAGGCCCAAAUAAUGGUGAAGUGUCAUGUAGUCGACGUUCACAUGACACCACUAGAGGAGAGACAACAUACAUCUCAUCAAAAUAUCAAACGAAUACCAAAUUCACAUGACAACUUAUAGCAAGACUUCUCCCAUGUCCUCAGAAACAAACGUAGCUACUCACAAAUCAUAUUCAUGUUCAUAAUUAGAGGGGUAUUAAUAUGCAUAAAGGAUCUGAACAUAUGAUCUUCCACCAAAUAAACCAACUAGCAUCAACUACAAGGAGUAAUCAACACUACUAGCAACCCACAUGUACCAAUCUGAGGUUUUGAGACAAAGAUUGGAUACAAGAGAUGAACUAGGGUUUGAGAUGAGAUGGUGCUGGUGAAGUUGUUGAUGGAGAUUGACCCCCUCCCGAUGAGAGGAUCGAUGGUGAUGAAGAUGGUGAUGAUUUCCCCCUCCCGGAGGGAUGCUUCCCCGGCAGAACAGCUCCGUCGGAGCCCUAGAUUGGUUUCGCCAAGGUUCCGCCUCGUGGCGGCGGUGUUUCAUCCUGAAAGCUUGCUUAUGAUUUUUUCCAGGGCGAAAGACUUCAUAUAGCAAAAGAUGGGCACCGGAGGCCUGCCAGGGGGCCCACGAGACUGCUUGAGGUCAUGGUACAUCUUCAUACUUCCAGGAUGAAUGGAUAGAAGAGAAUUGUGUGCUUCAUUCAUAAUGACUUUCCUUAAAUCACCUUUAGGAACCACAAUCCGGUCCUCGAAGAAAAGAGUUUCUUUGUCAUCCAUGCGAUAGCACUUGUAUUUGGGUUGGCUCUUGGCAAUACCAUGUUUCACUCUCUUCACCAUGGUGUCCAGGAGUUGUGCCUCACGAAUUUGAUCCUCCAAAUUAGGAGAGACUAGAAUGUUGGCAAGAAAGCCUUGAGGAACAACUUGGAGGUUCAGUUUGCGGAAAGCUUCACAAAGGUCUGGUUGGAAGGGCUUGAGAAUUAAGCUGUUGCAAUAAGCCUUCCCGCUCAAAGCAUCUGCAAUGACAUUGGCCUUGCCUGGAGUAUAUUCAAUACUCGAAUUGUAAUCUUGAAUCAUUUCGACCCAUCGAGUCUGCCUGAGGUUGAGGUUGGGUUGAGUGAAGAUGUACUUGAGGCUCUUGUGAUCUGUGAAAAUGUCCACUUUCCUUCCCAACAAGAGAUGUCUCCACGUUAUUAAUGCAUGGACAACUGCCGCCAACUCAAGAUCAUGAGUGGGGUAGUUCCUUUCGUUGGGCUUCAACUGACGAGAGGUAUAAGCCACAACUUCUUAUCUUGCAUUAACACAACGCCGAGACCUUUCAAGGAAGCAUCACAGAAAACUUUGAAUGGAUUGGAUUCGUCAGGAGGAGUUAAGACAAGAGCUGUGACUAGCUCCUCUUUGAGGGUGUUGAAAGCAACGUCACAUUCAGGUGUCCAGACAUACUUGACAUGCUUCUGAAGGAGGUUGGAAAGAGGCUUUGCAAUCUUAGAGAAAUUCUCAACGAAUCUUCGACAAUAGCUUGCAAGUCCAAGAAAACUGCAGAGCCGCUUGACAUUCCAAGGAGGUUCCCAGUUCACAAUUGCAUACACCUUCUCCGGAUUAAUAGCAAUGCCUUUGGCGGAGAUGAUAUGAUCAAGGUAAAGAACCUCAUCAAGCCAAAACUCACACUUCAAAAACUUCGCAUAGAAUUGAUGCUCUCUGAGCUUGUCGAGCACCAAUCUCAAAUGGUUGGCAUGAUCCUCCUUAUUCUUGGAGAAGACCAAGAUAUCAUCGAGAUACACCAGGACGAAAUCAUUUGUGUAAGGGUUGAAGAUGAAGUUCAUCAUGCAAGAGAACAUUGGAGGAGCAUUGACAAGGCUGAAAGACAUGACAGUAUAUUCAUAAGAACCAUAGUUUGUUCUGAAUGCUGUCUUGGGGAUAUCUUCUUCACGAAUGCGAAUCUGAUGAUAACCCAUAAGGAGGUCAAGCUUGGAGAAUACUUUAGCACAUUUAAGUUGCUCGAAUAGCUCAUUGAUGUUGGGAAGUGGAUACUUGUUCUUAAUUGUCUUCUUGUUCAAUGGACGGUAGUCAACACAAAGUCGGUCAGUUCCAUCCUUCUUCUGGAAAAAAAGAACACCACAACCCCAUGGAGAUGAACUCGGUUUGAUCAGACCCAGACGCUCUUGUUCAUCGAGUUGUUUCUUCAAUUCCUUCAACUCCUCUGGUCCAAGCUUGUAAGGACGCUUGCAAACUGGUUUCAUGCCAGGCUCAAGAUCGAUAACGAAUUCAACUGGCUGGUGAGGAGGCAUUCCCGGAAGCUCUUCUGGAAAGACGUCUUGGUAUUCACAAACGACUGGAAUCUGAGAGAUGGCAUUCAACUUGCCCUUCUCACUGAGAGAAAAUAGUCAAGUGGUUUCAUCACGAGCGGCAUAGAUGAACACAUCCUUAGAAGAGUGUGUCAAUUGAAUUUCCCUGGUAGCACAAUCAAGCUGAGCCUUGUGCUUAGAAAGCCAGUCCAUCCAAGAAUGAGAUCAAUAUCCGAGUCACCAAGAACAAUUAGAGAAGACAUAAAUUUAUAGUUUCCCAUCGUGAUAGAAACAUCACGAACCAUGGAGCUUGCGUUCAUGAAUUUACCCGGAGAAACAACUGACAACGGUCUAGGCAAAUCUUGGAGAACCAACUCAUUCUUAGAUGCAGAAGGUCUUGAGAUGAAACUAUGUGAUGCACCAGUAUCAAAUAAAACUUUUAAAGGAAAGUCAUUAACAGGAAGAUUACCCAUGAUCACUUCUGAAGAAUCCUCUGCCUAAGUUGCGUUCAUCAUGUUCACCUUUGCAAACUUGGUAUUAUGCUUGACCACUGCAUUGCUUGAAGAUCUCACAGGAGGAGGAGGCGGAAGGCGCCUUUGCUUGAAGCACUUGUUUGCAUAGUGCCCUUUCUGCUGACACUUGUUGCAAGUCACCUCUAAGAGCGGACGAUGAUAAGGAGCACUUGACCUUGGUGCCUGAGACUGAGAUUUGUUCUGAUAGCCUGGGUUGGGUGGGUGGGAUGAUCCAUUGCCACCUUUGCUCUUCUGCUGGUAGGGCUGAUGAAAUGGAGGAGGCAGAAGCCGGAACUUCUGUUUCUUAGCUGCCACUUGUGAUGAAGAAGAAGACUGAACUAUGUCCCUGGCUCUCUUCUUAGAAGCCUCACACUUGAGCUGAGCAGCUUCUUGCUUGAGUGCCAUGUUAUAGAAUUGAUCGAACUUAGUCGGCUCAAGAAGCACGAGAGCUAACUGCAGAUCUUCUCCGAGGCCACCUCUGAAUUGAUAGAUCAUACUCUUUUCAUUAGGAACGUCUUGUUUAGCGAAGCGAGCAAGUUUCUGAAACUGGAUAUUGUAUUGGUACACGGACAUGCUGCCUUGCUUGAGAUUGCGGAACUCCUCAUGCUUGCUCUCAGCAACACUUGUUGGAAUAUGCUGAGCUUUGAAGUCUCGGCGGAAAUCAUCCCAGGUAAUCACACGACCUCCUUUGGAAUCUCUGUAUUGUUGAAACCACUCAGCAGCUUGGUCCCUGAGUUGAAACAAAGCAAACUUGAGAAAGUCCUCAGGCCUGACAUUGCUACAUUCAAAAUGCUUGCAGAUGUCCAUGAGCCAAUCAUCGGCGUCUGUGGCCUCGACACAGUUGCUGAAAGACUUCGGCUAGUUUGCGAGGAACUGGUUGAGGGUAGCAAACUGAGGCUGAUUGUUGAAAUUCCCUUGGCUUUGAUUUCCUCGGUUGCCUUGACCUUGGUUGCGCUCUUGCAAGAGUUGGAAAAGCAUCUGAGUGUUGGCGUUGGUGGCUGCCAUGACAGCUUGCCAUGCCUCCGGAGGUGGAGGUGGUGGCGGAGGGUUCGCCUGAUUCCCAUCAUUGCGGUCCAGAUUCAGACGCGUUGGAGGAGCCAUCCGGAAGAGGGUGACAUCCAUUAGAAUCUUGAUAGAUAGAUAGACAAGCUGAAUCAAUGGAUAGAAAUUGCAACAUAUACUCUUCACAAUAAACAUUCGAACAAGGGUGAACGAAUGAAUUCCAAAGUAAAUCAUCACACUUCCAUUAAGGUGAGAAGCCACUUAGAUAAAGGUAGAUGAAUAAAUCAACAAGGUACGAAUAUGAAAAAAUAAGUAGUAAGGAUUACCCAAUCACAAACCAAAUAUCUGUGGGAAGAAAUACUAGAGCUAGUUGAAUUCCCACCUAUAAAACUCUGGAAACUUUCUGGUUAUGCAAUCAAGUGUUGGGGAUACAGGGGAAGCAUAAUAUCUCACCCAAACUAACAAUCCCUACAUCCAGCUGUAUCCAUCCUUCAACACAUAACCAAGAUAUCUUUGGAAAUCAUGUACCUCAACCUUCGAAAAGCAUCCGUUAUACGAGUUAUGGCAAUAGUCCCGAACUCCCGCCCCAGUACUGGGUGGCGUCGAGGAUAUCUCACCAACAACUGCAUAAAAGAGAUUUUCGAUGUCGGCGAACUCAGGUAUUCCAGAACUGGAACGAUAAAAUUGUGACGACAACACCUCGGAGCUCAACUCCCCGGGACACUGCCACAACCCCUAAAUGUCAGGAGGCACCAAGAACAAUUUUCUCGUCACAAUACUAUCGAAACGAUUCCAAGAUACCCGCGUGAUCCUAAUUUUUUUUUCAUGAAAUUUGAGGAGAGGAAAGUCAAAACUUCUACGCCAAGAGGCCUCACCAGAGCGACGAAGGGACUGAGGAGUAAAAAGAAUCCUACUCUCCAAUAUAUAUAAUCCUAAGACUCAAAACAUUUUGUUCUAGACUCAACAACGUCAGCGAUUCAAUCAAGCAGGGGGCUCCUAAGUUGGGGAUGGCUCUUAUUACCAACUUGAAACACCCACCAUGCGGCUAUAUCUCCCACGUGUCGAGGCACGACUUAGAGGCAUAACCGCAUGGUGGUUUAGUCGCAAGUGGGGUAAUCUUCACACAAUCCCAUGUAGUGAAUAAGAAAGGGAUAAAGAGUUGGCUUACAAUCGCCACUUCACACAAUACAUAAUUAAUUCAUACAUCAUCCAAAUACACUCAAAGACCGACUACGACCAAAUCCAAAAGAAAAGGAAGAUAAACCCCAAAUGCUAGAUCCCCGAUCGUCCCAACUGGGCUCCACUACUGAUCAUCUGGAAACGAAACAUAGUAAUGACCCAGAUCCUCGUCGUACUCCCACUUGAUUUUGGUAGCAUCACCUACACUGGUCAUCGGCACCUGCAACUGUUUGGAAGUAUCCGUGAGUCUCGAGGACUCAGCAAUCUCACACCCGCGAGAUCAAGACUAUUUAAGCUUAUGGGUAGGGUAAGGUAAUGAGGUGGAGCUGCAGCAAGCACUAAGCAUUUAUGGUGGCUAACAUACGCAAAUAAGAGCGAGAAGAGAAGCAACGCAAUGGUCGAGAAGCUAGAAGUGAUCAAGAAGUGAUCCUAAAACUACUUACGUUCAAGCAUAACACAAGAUUGUGUUCACUUCCGGGACUCCGUCAAAAAGAGACCAUCAUGGCUACACACGCGGUUGAUGCAUUUUAAUUAAGUCAAGUGUCAAGUUAUCUACAACCGGAUAUUAACAAAUUCCAAUCUUCCACAUAACCGCGGGCACGGCUCUCGAAAGUUUAAACCCUGCAAGGGUGUCCCAACUUAGCCCAUCACAAGCUCUCACGGUCAACGAAGGAUAUUCCUUCUUCCGAAAAGACCCGAUCAGUCUCGGAAUCCCGGUUACAAGACAUUUCGACAAUGGUAAAACAAGACCAGCAAGACCACCCGACUGUGCCGACAAAUCCCGAUAGGAGCUGCACAUAUCUCGUUCUCAGGGCUCGCCGGAUUGUCCAAACUUCUGGUAGGACAGCCCAGAGUUGCCCCUGGUGGCCACCGGCAGUUGACAGGUUGGACCAACACUCAGAGGAGUACUAACCCGGGGGUUUAAAAUAAAUAUGACCCUCGAGUCUGCGGAACCAAGGGAAAAAGGCUUAGGUGGCAAAUGGUAAAACCAAGGUUGGGCCUUGCUGGAGGAGUUUUAUUCAAGGCGAACUGUCAAGGGGGUCCCAUAACCCCAACCGCGUAAGGAACGCAAAAUCAAGGAACAUAACACCGGUAUGACGAAAACUAGGGCGGCAAGAGUGGAACAAAACACCAGGCAAAAGGCCGAGCCUUCCACCCUUUACCAAGUAUAUAGAUGCAUUAAUUAAAAUAAGAGAUAUUAUGAUAUCCCAACAUAUCCAUGUUCCAACAUGGAACAAACUUCAACUUCACCUGCAACUAGCAACGCUAUAAGAGGUGCUGAGCGAAAGCGGUAACAUUGCCAAACAAUGGUUUGCUAGGAAGGUGGGUUAGAGGAUGGACAUGGCAAUAUGAGAGGCAUGAUAAACAAGUGGUAGGUAGAGCGGCAUAGCAAUAGAGCGAACAACUAGCAAGCAAAGAUAGAAGUGAUUUCGAGGGUAUGUUCAUCUUGCGUGCAAUGUUCUCAGAGUUGUUGAAAGCUUGAUCCUCGUUAGCAUACUCAAUAGGUUCAUCAUUCACGUACUCGUCUCCCGGCUCUACCCAAAGCAAGAACACAAGCAAUGGAACAACAAUCAAUCACGGUGCAAUGCACAAGCAACAUGAUGCAAUACAUGGCAUGAUAUGCAAGAUAUGGUAUGUAAUGCAUAUGCGUGCUCCGAAAGGAAAAGAAUGAUCAAGGCAUCAACUUGGCAAACCAAGUAUGCCGCUAGAAAGAUGAGGUUAUUUCGGUCGAAAUCGAUAUAAGGAUCACCGGAAACAGAUGCACGGUUUGCAAAUGGCAAGCAAAACAAGAAUGGUGCCAAAACUGUGAUUAACAGCAUGAUGGCACUUAGAAUGCAACAAUAAACUAAGCUACUACACUCCAACAUAGCAACAAAGCAUAUGGCAGUGAUGUACAAGAGAUGCUUGACAAAACAUGAACACUGAGCUAUGGCUAAAUCACUCAAGAACAGAUUCAAACAAGCAUGGCAAAAGUGCAAAAGAUAUCAGCUUCACAGACUUCGUGAAAAUACUAACAUGUCAAUAACAACAUCAGGAAGCAAUGUUUAGAGCAAGCAAACAACAUGGUACAAGAACAUAUCAUGACAAACAAAGGCAUGUCAUGCUUCUAGUAAAUGCAUAGAACAAAAGUCCCUUACUGAAUAUGAGCCAAAAAGGUACAAAAGAUAUGAUGGCACCCAUGUAAACAUAGCAAGUUUUAUUAAUAGUUUUAGACUUAGAAGAAAAGCAGAGCAUGGCAUAAACAGAUUCAUGACUAGAAGAAUAACAGAGCAUGGCAUAAACAGAUUCAUGAUAGCAACUUUGCAAGCUCAUGCCAACACCUCAAAGCAUUACAUGACAACACAAGCAUACCAACAGUAAGAAGACAUGUUCAUGAAGCUAAACGUGGCAAGAGCAAGUUCAUAGGAUGCAUGGAUCACUAGCAAAACACAUGGCCAAAUUGAUUAUCAUGUUAACAAUCUGCCAGGAACAAUAUAUAGCAAAAGUAGAGCAAGAAAAAGACAUGCUAGAGCACUCCAUAAUUGCAACCAGAGGUAGGAAUGGAUAGAGCAUAACCACACGUUCAAAAUAAGCAUGGAUCUCAUGGUAGCAUCAAGUUUACAUGGCAUCAAAAUAACAGCAGGAAAAGGACUUAGGAAAAUCCUAAGUGCCUGAAAACAACAACAUUAUGAAGCCUACUUUGCAUGCUUGUGCUAGUCACCACAUAGAUCACAAAAAUACAAGACUUGCACCUCUGGAAAGAUGGCAUGAUGGAGCUCAAAACAUAUGCAGACCUCAUGCUCAUAGGAUGCACACAUCAAAUGCGACAAAAAUGACAAAUCACCAUGUUCUGCUAAGCACCAGCAGUUAACAUUUUAUAGCACUCUUGCAACAAUGAAAAUGAUAUCAUAAUGGACAGUAACAUGCAUGCAAAUGCUACUAACAUGAAGAGCUGAAUGAGACGAACAUUUUUACAUAUCAUAUGCAUGAUUCGGAGCCACGAGCGCGAAGAUAUGGCGGGUCAAAGUAGACAUAAAAAUAUCAGGGGGAAAAGACAUAGUGGAAAACAACCUUCUGAAACGGAUCUAGGGUUCACACGGUUCCCGAGGCGGCGGUGGAUCUCGCCGAAUCCUCGCCGGAGAAGUGGCCGGAGUAGCUCGGCGAGGAGGUGGGAGGUCACCGGUGAUGAGGGGGUGGCCGGAUCCGGUUGGCGAGGUCCUUCCCAGCUGGGAUCUCGCCUGAUCCGGGAGUGGGCGACGAGGAGGCGGUAGCGCAAGGCGACGCCGGCGAUGGGGGUGGCGGCGAGCGGCGCGGUGAGCGGCGGAAGGCGGCGGCGCGACGAGNNNNNNNNNNNNNNNNNNNNNNNNNNNNNNNNNNNNNNNNNNNNNNNNNNNNNNNNNNNNNNNNNNNNNNNNNNNNNNNNNNNNNNNNNNNNNNNNNNNNNNNNNNNNNNNNNNNNNNNNNNNNNNNNNNNNNNNNNNNNNNNNNNNNNNNNNNNNNNNNNNNNNNNNNNNNNNNNNNNNNNNNNNNNNNNNNNNNNNNNNNNNNNNNNNNNNNNNNNNNNNNNNNNNNNNNNNNNNNNNNNNNNNNNNNNNNNNNNNNNNNNNNNNNNNNNNNNNNNNNNNNNNNNNNNNNNNNNNNNNNNNNNNNNNNNNNNNNNNNNNNNNNNNNGGGAGGCGGCGGGGAUGGCCGGGUGCAGGCACGGGGCGGCGGCAGAUGGGCCCGCGGGGGCCGGCCUUAGGCCCGGCGGGCUUAGGCGGCGGGGCGGCAGUGGCGCGCCACGUGGCGGCCUCCGAGUGGCACAGGCGCGGCGGUGAGUUUGUCCGGCUCGGGCCAGACGUGUCCGGUGGUAGUGGGGGAUGAUUUUUUAGGGGUUGACCCGGAUUUGGACGGGGAGAAGUAUAUCUUGAUCCAGAAGAUUUAGCCAAUGGUUGUCCCAGUGUGAAAGAAGACGGGUCUCCCUUCAGCGUUGGUGAUUUUGCACAAAUAGCAAGGGAAAUGCGUCCGAUAGCAAGCAAGCUGGCCAAAGAAACAAAUCUCUCUCAAUACCAGGUGGCUUAUGAUGCUGAUAACAAGAAGGUGAAGGCAGCGGUUCAUCAAGAGGUAGAUCUCAUCCGACCAACUCGUAAGCACUUCUCUCCUGACAUUGAUCCAUCAAAUCUUAUCAAUGAUGAGGCUGUGUUUAGAGCUUUGACUGGUAUCAACUGGGCUACGCCUGACUUCCAGCCAAUGGAUAAUCAAGGAGAUGAAGAAGAAGAAGCGCAGGAUGACCCGAAAGGCUUUAACUCGUCAAGACUAGAAGUCUGAAUUCAUGAUCUGGUUUACCAUCCAUAGCAUUUGGAUGCUAUGUCUCAAAAACACUUAUCCUUUUAGGUCGCUAGGUACCUUGUAAUAGGCUAGUUAAAACAAUGAUCUUCCGUGCCAUCGUGCAUGUUUUAUUUGCAUAACACUGCCAAUCCAUUAUUUGAAGAUCUUACACUUAUGCUCAUAAUACCAUCAAUUAUGCAGACCAUACUUAGCAUGUUUUCCUGCACGUAAGCAGAUAACAGGUGCCCUAGCGGUUUACCUCUGGGCGGGUCACAAUACCCAAUAUAAAAACCUCUGAUGACUAAUUAGUCCAUAACCAGUGCCGGUUUAUCAAAAACCUCAUAUAAUCAUAACAAAAUAAAUAUCAUACUUGUGAUAUUUGUUCAUAUUGCCGGCUUAUCAUGCGUCAUGCAGUAAGGGUAACAACCCAAAGAUUGAGAGCACAACGCCCUGUUCAAUUUAUUCAUACCAUCGACUUUCAACGCCAUAUGUAGCAAGGGGUAACAUCCCAAAGCUUAGAGCGAGUACUCCAAUCACAUAAUCAUCAUACACUGGCGACUUAAAGUCCAAAGCCAGGACAAUUUAACGAAACGCCGGAUAGAUUCAUGUAUGAACUUUAAGGAAAUAUGGCCGUAAUCAGUUUUUCAACCAUGUAUCAACAUGGCACAAAAGGUGAACCUAAAAAAACGUUCAAAACAAAAACAUAAACCAAAAAACAAGGCGUUCAUAGGCUGCCAAGCCUCAAUGUCAAGUGCUAUUCAAGGGCUGCACAGCCGCUGAGUUAAACCUUAAUUCAAACGCGUAAGCCGGACCUCACAUGACCAAUCACCGUUUUAACUUUGACAAAUUCAGGGUCUGUAUAAGGUUGAUUGUCAAGAGUACGGUGAGUCAUACCAGGAUUACCUGGUCAGAGUAACCCGGAUUUUUGGUGAAUACACCUGGCGUCCAGGCCUUAUUACAAGGGACAACAAAGCUCCUGUUCAUUUAACAAAGAGCACCCAAGUAAUAUUUUAUUCCAGGCGUAUAAGCUAGAAUAGUAGGGUAGUCAUAGCUAUGCUAAAUGAGCAGGAAGCCCCCAAGUAUUUUGUAAUUAUGGCGUACAAGCCAGAUCAAGAUGGUAGUCAUAGCUAUGCUUAAUAAGCAGGAAGCCCCCAAGUAUUUUGUAGUCAUGCGUACAAGUCGGAUCAAGAGGAUAGUCAUAGCUAUGCUUAAUAAGCAGGAAGCCCCCAGGUGAUCGUAUGAAGGGAUAAUAAAGACCCAUAUUCUCAGAAACACUACAGGAAUCAUACAGUUUGCCGUCGGGCAAGUAUAGACGGCAAAGGCUGAAAUAGAGACGACAAAGACUUUGCCGUCACCUGGCUGACGGCAAAGUGUGACGGCAAAGGCAAAGUCGGCAAAGAGUACUUUGUCGUCAGCUUUUUAUCGGGCAGACGGCAAAGUCUUUGCUGUCACCAAUCUCUAACAGACGGCAAAGAAGCAGGUUUGCCGUCGGUCAAUACACAAUAUUUGCCGUCAUCCGACCAAAUUUACAGACGGCAAUUUUUUUAUAAUUUAAAAAAAUCACAGGACACGCCAACAUCAAAACAUUUUCCAUAACAUUCUUUAUACAUCGAUUUGCACAACAAAUCAUACAUACAGAUCCACCCUUGAAUAUCCCAAAAUCCUAGUUUGUUCAAUCAUACAUACAGAUUUACACUUGCUUGCUUUCUCAAGAACAUCGUACAAAGUUGGUACUAUCUAUUCACACUGUUUGAACUACCAAGAUUGGUGUCAGAGUUCUUCCGAGAAGAUGAGAUCAGAGGAGGAAGAUUAACGCCAAGAAUUACACAGAGUCUAGAAGAAACGCCCUUGAAUCAGCCUUGCUCCCUGUGAGAGCCGGUGGGGCGAGCGGUGGUGGCGGCCGCUGGCGGCGAGCACGCGGCUCCUCGACGGGGUUCGCACGGGGCUUGCAGCAGCGGACGGAUCCGGCAGCCGUCAUUGGAGUUGACCGGCAACAACCUAUGCAAAGAACAGGGACGCGCGCUAGGGACAGGGAAGGUAGAAGAGAGGGGCAGGGACGCGCGCUAGCUGUUGGCAGGCGAGGUGGUGGCUCAGGCGACGACGAGCUCUGGAUCUGGAGCUCCUCUCCAGAUCGAGGAGCACGGGCGGGAGGGCGGGGCCGGCGGGAGGCCGAGACCGGCGGAGAGGUGCGGCAGGAGGCCGAGGCCGGCGGAGAGGUGCGGCGGNNNNNNNNNNNNNNNNNNNNNNNNNNNNNNNNNNNNNNNNNNNNNNNNNNNNNNNNNNNNNNNNNNNNNNNNNNNNNNNNNNNNNNNNNNNNNNNNNNNNNNNNNNNNNNNNNNNNNNNNNNNNNNNNNNNNNNNNNNNNNNNNNNNNNNNNNNNNNNNNNNNNNNNNNNNNNNNNNNNNNNNNNNNNNNNNNNNNNNNNNNNNNNNNNNNNNNNNNNNNNNNNNNNNNNNNNNNNNNNNNNNNNNNNNNNNNNNNNNNNNNNNNNNNNNNNNNNNNNNNNNNNNNNNNNNNNNNNNNNNNNNNNNNNNNNNNNNNNNNNNNNNNNNNNNNNNNNNNNNNNNNNNNNNNNNNNNNNNNNNNNNNNNNNNNNNGGCUGAUUCGGUGGAGGUGGAGGGAGCGGGAGGCAGAGGAAGUGGGCAUGGUCGGGUGGGCAAGAGAACGGUCGAGGAGUGGGGUAGGACGUGGGGGUGAGGUGGGGAUCAACCGAACGGCCGGUGGGGUGGGGGUGGGUGAGAUGUGCGUCUAAGAUCCUGCCACCACAUCGAUCCGAGAGAUUGAUCCGCGAGGUGUGUUUCUUGUUUUGUCGUCAUAUGUUUUUUUAAAGACGGCAAAGUAGCUUUGCCGUCAUUAGUUCUUUUUACAGAUGGCAAACUAUGUCUUUGCCGUCAUCAGUUUUUUUACAGACGGCAAACUAUGUCUUUGCCGUCAUCAGUUUUUUUACAGACGGCAAAGUAUGCUCUUUGUCGUCUGUAUUUUUUUCGCAGACGGCAAAGUUUGUUUUGCCGUCAGUAAAUUUUUAGCAGACGGCAAAGUGAGCUGUUUGCCGUUUGUAUUUCUUUGCCGUCUGCAAUUGACAGCAAAGUUGGUCUUUGCCGUCAGGCCCGACCAAAAACUGACGGCAAAGACAGCCACAGACGGCAAAUUAGCUUAUUCCUGUAGUGAAAUGAAAUGACAGAGGCCCUGAAUUAUCAGGGAUGGCGGCUUUAUUAUAUUCAUCAUAAUAUAUACAUUGACAAAGUAUGUACAUCACAAGAGCCGGUGGCUCGGGUGUAAUAAGGCCGAAGAUGAGAAAUAUUCCACGGCCAAUGGAUCUCCUCCUCCGACAUGCAUGAGUCCUUGUGGUCUCAAACAUCGAUAAGAUAGUAUGACCCAUUGUUUAGAUUUUUGCCGACCACGAAGGGCCCUUCCCAAGGUGGGGAUAGCUUGUGCAUGUCAGUUUGAUCAUGGAUGAGCUGGAGCACCAAAUCUCCUUCUUGAAAGGUCCUGGUUUUAACCCGACGGCUAUGCUAACGAUGCAUAUCUUGCUGGUAAAUCACUGAACGAGCCGUCGCACGGUCGCGCUCCUCAUCCAACAGGUCAAGAGCAUCCUGACGUGCCUUUUCAUUAUCAGCUUCAACAUAAGCCGCCACACGAGGUGAAUCAUGAUGGAUGUCACUAGGGAGAACCGCCUCUACUCUGUAAACCAGAAAGGAAGGCGUGUAACCCCGUAGAUCUGUUGGGGCCGUACUGAUACUCCAUAACACUGAGGAUAAUUCCUCCACCCAACAACCCAACGUCCUCUGCAAAGGGACCAUAAGCCAGGGCUUGACGCCUCUGAAAAUUUCUUGAUUGGCUCUUUCAGCUUGGCCAUUGGACUGGGGGUGAGCCACUGAUGAUAUAUCAAGACAAAUAUGCUCUCGUUGACAAAAUUCUUUCAUAGCACCCUUGGAAAAGUUAGUGCCAUUAUCAGUUAUAAUGUUGUGAGGAAAGCCAAACCGGAAAAUCACCUUUUUGAUGAACUGAACCGCUGUUGCUGCAUCACCCUUACUGACCGGCUCUACCUCAACCCACUUUGUGAAUUUGUCAACCGCCACCAAAAGGUGAGUCUUUUUGUCUUUAGACCUUUUGAAAGGUCCAACCAUAUCUCGCCCCCAGACCGCAAACGGUCAAGUAAUUGGAACCAUCCUCAAUUCUUGAGCCAGCACAUGAGCUCGUCGUGAAAAUUUUUGACAACCAUCACAUUUACUGACCAAAUCCUCUGCAUCAUCAUAAGCCGCCAGCCAAUAAAACCCAUGAUGGAAAGCCUUGGGUACGAGGGACUUAGAGCCGGCAUGAUGUCCACAAUCUCCUUCAUGAAUCUCUCAUAGAAUCUCAUGGCCUUCCUCAGGAGAAACACCACGUUGAAACACCCCUAUGACACUUCAGCGAUGCAGCUCUCCAUUGACAAUAGUCAUUGACUUAGACCAUCGGGUUAUCUGCCUGGCCAAAGUUUCAUCUUCAGGUAACUCGCCCCGGGUCAUAUAAGCCAAAUAUGGAAUUGUCCAAUCAGGAAUAACAUGAAGAGCCGCCACCAAUUGCGCCUCCGGGUCAGGAAUAGCAAGAUCCUCCUCUGUAGGCAGUUUGACUGAAGGGUUAUGUAGAAUAUCAAGGAAAACAUUAGGUGGCACCGGCUUACGCUCGGACCCUAGCCGGCUCAAAGCAUCAGCCGCCUCAUUUUUCCCACGAUCAACAUGUUCCACUUGAUAGCCUUUAAAAUGACCAGCAAUAGCAUCAACCUCUCGGCGGUAAGCCGCCAUGAGCGGGUCUUUAGAAUCCCAAGUGCCUAAAACUUGCUGAGCCACCAAAUCUGAGUCACCAAAACACCUCACCCGGCGUAGAUUCAUCUCCUUAGCCAUCCGAAGACCAUGGAGCAAGGCUUCAUACUCAGCUGCAUUAUUAGUACAAGGGAACAUCAACCUCAAAACAUAACAAAAUUUAUCACCUCAUGGGGAAGUCAAAACAACUCCAGCCCCCGAGCCUUCCAACUGCCUGGAUCAAAGUGAAUAGUCCAAUAUGUGCUAUCCGGCUUCUCCUCAGGCAUCUGUAGCUCUGUCCAAGCAUUGAUGAAAUCCACAAGUGCUUGAGAAUUGAUGGCUAUGUGAGGCGUAUAUUUCAAACCAUGGGGUCCAAGCUCAAUGGCCCACUUGGCUACCCGUCCUGUGGCUUCUUUGUUUUGAAUAAUAUCCCCUAAGGGAGUAGAACUAACCACAGCGAUGGGAUGACCAAGGAAAUAUUGCUUGAGCUUUCGACUAGCCAUGAACACCCCAUAUACAAGCUUCUGCUAAUGCGAAUACCUCUGCUUGGAUUCAAUGAGCACCUCACUGAUAUAAUAAACCGGUCGCUGAACCGGAUGUUCCUUGCCUGCUUCCCUCUGUUCCACCACAAUCGCCACACUGACGGCUCGGCUAUUGGCAACCACAUAUAACAACAAGGGCACCUUAUCAAUAGGAGCAGCAAAGAUCGACGGCUCAGCUAACUGUUUCUUUGGGGCUUCAAACGCCUAAUCAUCUGGUACAGAGGGAUAGCCUUUUCUCCCAACCGGCUUAUGAACCGGCUUAAGGCCACAAUACGACCCGCCAAACGCUGAACAUCAUUAAUGCACACCGGUUUAGCCAAAGAAGUAAUAUCCUUGAUUUUCUCCAGCUUAGCUUCAAUGCCUCGUUCAGAAACCAAAAAACCCAAGAGCUUGCCUGCUGGCACACCAAAAACACACUUGGUCGGGUUAAGCAUCAUUUGGUAAACCCGGAGAUUGUCAAAGGUCUCUUUCAAAUCAUCUAUCAAGGUUUCCUUAUUCCUAGAUUUCGCAACAAUAUCAUCCACAUAAGCAUGAACAUUGCGUCCAAUCUGACCAUGAAGGCAAUUUUGAACACACCGCUGGUAAUUAGCCAGGUCACUCUUGAGCCCAAAGGGCAUAGACACAUAGCACAAGGCUCCAAAAGGAGUGAUGAAGGUUGUCUUCUCCUGGUCCUUAACUGCCAUCUUGAUCUCAUGAUACCCAGAAUAAGCAUCCAAAAAACUCAAACGCUCACAACCCAUCGUAGCAUCAAUAAUCUGAUCUAUACGAGAGAGAGCAAAAGGAUCAGCCGGACAUGCCUUAUUAAGGUAUGUGUAAUCCAUCCACAUUCGCCAAGUACCAUUUUUCUUAAGUACCAGCACUAGGUUAGCCAACCAUUCAGGAUGAAAAACUUCAACAAUGAACCCAGCUGCCAAGAGCCAGGCCACUUCCUCACCAAUGGUCUUACGUCUCUCCUCAUUAAAGCGACAGAGGAAUUGCUUGACCGGUUUAAACUUUGGAUCAAUAUUGAGAGUGUGCUCAGCGAGUUCCCUCGGUACACCUGGCAUAUCUGAAGGCUUCCAUGCAAAGAUGUCCCGGUUCUCACAGAUGAACUCGAUGAGCACGCUUUCCUAUUUUGGAUCUAGAUUAGCACUGAUACUAAACUAUUUAGAUGAAUCGCCAGGAACAAAAUCAACCAGGUUAGUGUCAUCUGCUGACUUACAUUUCAAUAGAGGGUCAUGCUCCGUGGUUGGCUUCUUCAUAGGCGUCAUAUCCGCAAGAUCAACAUUAUCUUUGUAAAACUUCAGCUCUUCUUUUGCACAAACAGACUCAGCAUAGACAUCAUCGCCCUCUUCACAUUCCAAAGCUAUCUUCUGGUUCCCAUGUACUAUGAUGGUACCCUUAUAACCUGGCAUCUUAAGCUGCAGAUAAACAUAACAAGGCCUCGCCAUGAACUUAGCGUAAGUCGGCCACCCAAACAAAGCAUGAUAAGGGCUCUUGACCUUAACCACCUCAAAGGUCAAUGUUUCAACUUUGGAAUCAUGAUCAUCACCGAAAGCCACUUCCAAAGCUAUCUUGCCCACCGGAUAUGUCGACUUACCGGGCACCACACCAUGGAAAACAGUGUUAGACGGCUUAAGAUCCUUGUCAGUCAACCUCAUACAAUGAAAAGUUUUGUAGUAAAGGAUAUUGAUGUUGUUGCCUCCAUCCAUGAGCACCUUAGUGAACUUGUAACCUCCAACCUGAGGCGCAACCACUAAAGCCAAGUGACCUGGAUUGGCAACCCGGGGCGGGUGAUCCUCACGUAUCCAGAGAAUAUGAUGUUCAGACCAUCACAAGUAACGGGGAAUCGUCGGCUCAACUACAUUCACUGCCCUUUUAUGAAUCUUCUGGUCUCGUUUACAUAAACUCGUGGUGAACACAUGAUACUGUCCACUAUUCAACUGUUUCGGAUUACUCUGAUAACCAGAUUGAUGCUACUGAUUCCCUUGACCAGACUACUGAUUAAAAGCACCUUGAUUGCCUUGGCCUUGGAAACCAGAGUUUGAACCACCACCACCAAAGCCAGGCCCGUGAGAGCCAGAUCCAGAACCGCCAUUUGUGCCAUGAUUGUUCUGGAAAAAAUUGGAAUUCCUAUAUCCCCUCAUGAUGAAGCAAUCCUUCCACAGAUGACUGGCCGGCUUUUCUUAUGUACCAUGAUUUGGGCAAGGCUGGUUCAUCAUAGCCUCAAGGUUGAACUUUGGCCCUCCACGCUGGGGCGGCUUUCCCUUGCGAUGCUGAUUAUUAUUCUGCGUAUUGGUAUUGGCCACAAAAUCUAAAUUGCCAUCAGCUUUGCGCUUACCAUUGCCACCUUGACCCGCCGUAUUAUGUUGCUGCCCCUUUGCAUUGCCACUCUUGUUUCCCUUACCCGUCUUCUCCUCAUCAGUGUCAGGAUCUUUGGUACUAUCAGAAUCGGCAUAUUUGACGAGAGCCGACAUAAGCCCCCCUAUGUCAUUGCAAUGGCGUUUAAGCCGUCCCAGUUUCUGCUUAAGGGGGAGGAAACGACAAUUCUUUUCCAACAUCAGGACUGCUGAACCGGCAUUGAUACUGUCCGAUGAGUGUGUAACAACUAAGAUCUGGUGCACCCAAUUGGUUGUUGACUCGCCCUUCCCUUGGACACAAGAAUCCAAAUCCAGGACCGACAUAGGCUGCUUGCACGUGUCUUUAAAAUUUUGGUUGAAACGAGCUUUCAACUCCACCCAUGAUCUAAUGGAGUUAGUGGGCAACCCUUUGAACCAAGUACGAGAUGGCCCAUCCAACAUCAUGGUGAAAUACUUAGCACAUGCAGCAUCAUUAACGUCUAGCAUCUCCAUGGCCAUAUCAUAGCUCUCAAUCCAUGCCUCAGGAGGCUGAUCCGCCGUAUAGUUAGGCACCUUAGGAGGGCCCUUGAAAUCCCUAGGCAAACGCUCGUUGCGCAGGGCCGACACUAGACAUGGCACACCCCAUGAUCUAGAUGUCACUCCUGCCUCCACAAAUGCUGACGGAUAAACCGGAGAUUGCUGUUGAGCCGCUAGCUGAGCCGCCAGCUCCGCCUCCCGAUGCGCCCUGCCCUGAUCCACCAAAGUCUGAGCAUCGACACCACCGCGCGCCGGGUCAUGCCUACGAGGUUGGUUACGAUGUUGUUCACUGCUUGAAACUGUUGGCGAGUCAAUAUGGCUGCUAUAACGCCAGCUUGGCCGAGGGGUCGGGUGAAUCUGCUCACGGCUAUACGAAUAAGCCGCAUGUUGAGCCACAACCAUCUGAAGAAGUUCUCUGGCCCUUCGCGUCUCUAUCGCAGCUGGAGAUUCGCCUUCAACUGGAAGAGCCGCCAAUCAUGACGCCGCAACAAUCAUGUUGUCUAAAGGGUUAGAAUAAUGACCCGGUGGUGUCGGAACAUGCUGAGGUGGAGUCACAUCCAAACGAGGCGGAUCCAUAGUAUGCGGCUGGACCGGUGCUCCAGUAUAGGCACCUCAACCUCCCGGUUCACCACGGGUGAGUCACCGGUCCCUUCCCCUGGCGUGUUAAAAAAAAUUCUCGCAUCGUACUCUAGAGGUAAGCAACUGGUAUCUCCUUCUCAUGAUGGCAUUUGAAGCAUUUUGAUCUAAGGUAAGCCGGAACGACUCCUCCUGAAUCUGUCAUGCCUGAGCAUCCAAAGAGCUCGCUCCGUUGCCAUCCUAGCGUUCUUAGCUGCCAGCUCUUCCUUGGCUUGAGCUAUCUCAUCUCGUAACUUCGCAACAUCCACCUUAUGCUGUUCUUGAGUGUACGGGGUCACCUCCACCCCCAUGAAAGUCACCAAAGCCUUCAACAACUCUGUCAUUGUUCUAUUAAGGGUAACAAGGUGGGGUCUAUUCCUACAUGAAUAGAUAUUGUCUACAUCAUGUCAUUGUUCUUAUUGCAUUACUCCGUUUCUCCAUGAACUUAAUACACUAGAUGCAUGCUGGAUAGCGGUCGAUGUGUGGAGUAAUAGUAGUAGAUGCACGCAGGAGUCGCUCUACUAAUCUUGGAUGUGAUGUCUAUAUAAUGAUCAUUGCCUGGAUAUCAUCAUGAUUAUUUGAAGUUCUAUCAAUUGCCCAAUAGUAAUUUGUUUACCCACCGUAUACUAUUUUUCUCGAGGGAAGCCACUAGUGAAAUCUAUGGCCCCCAGGUCUCUUCUUUAUCAUAUUUGCCUUCAAGAUAUAUUUUUAUUUACUUUUAUUGUCAGAUCUUUUAAUUCAAAAACCCAAAAAUACCUUGCUUCAAUUUUUAUUUAUUUAUUUUAUCUCGCGUACCCGUGAGAUCUAUUUAUCCAAUCUACCACAAAUUUAUCUAUCUUUUUACCCGGGAGGGAUUGACAACCCCUCUUUUACGUGAGGUUGCAAGUAUUUGUUCUUUGUGUACAGGUGCCGUUCACGUAGUGUUACGUGGUUCUCCUACUGGUUCGAUAACCAUGGUCUCAUCACUGAGGGAAAUACGUACCGUAGCUGUGCUGCAUCAUCCCUUCCUCUUUGGGGAAAUACCGAUGUAGUUCAAGCCGCAUCAGGCCCUGACGAGGUCAGGCUGGGCUUCUGCCCACGCGCUCGUUUUUCCCUCUUCACCUCCCACUGGAACUCCUAGGAGGAGAGGGACAGGAAAUUAAUUACGGGGCACUUAUAUUUUUUUCAAUUUAAAAGAUGUAGGCAUCUGCCAAACUUUUGCUUAAAUUAUGUAAUCUUCCAUCCAUUAUGUAAUGAAAAUGACUGAAAGAACGCUAUUCCUCUUGCUUCAAGUACUCACUUUUUCUCCCUUUGAUGGUACUUUCUCAACAUGUCUACCCUUGCGGCAUGGAGUAAUUUGCAGGGUUAGCACCAACGACAAGCGCUCAUGGGGCGAGCCCCUGGCAGCAGGCUGAUGGCAUCCCCCGGCAAGGCCCCUUGUUGGUUUCGACGCGGCCUCCCAGAGCUGUGGAGUGACAAGAACUGGGGGGUGGCUCGUCCCGACAAGGGUUUCCAGCGCGCGAAAGGUUCCAUUGCACACAACCAAAGGGGUAGAGUGGUUUUACUUGAAGAAGAAGAUAGCACUAAGCUUAGAGCACGUAGUUUUGACUUAUCUUUUAAGUUGUACUAUUUUCUUGGAGUACGAUGGGCAGCCAUUGUCCUUGCCCUCUUGCUCGUCUCUUCUUAUCUUCCCGAUGACCGAGCACCUUAGAACAAAAGGUUUAUAUUUUACCGGGGUAAGAGAGAAGGAAAGAAUUAAGUAACAAGGACCCACGGGUCCACCGAGUACUUCAACAAAUCUCUAAAAACAUAAAGGCAAUGACACUGCAACAUAAACAUGCAUAAGAACAUGCAAACAGAUGGUAUGAUGCAAUGCCUAGCUUUAUUGGUGCAUGCACAAGAUCUGCGCAUGGCUUUGUGCAAAGGGUUACAUGAACAUCAGCAAGGCUUGUACAAAGGUGGUUGCUGAGGAUUGAGCCCGGCAGCCGCGCCAUAUAGGUAGAACUUACGAAGAUGCACAAUAUUCCAUGAGUUUUACAUUUUGAUGCCAUCUUCGGUCUUCAGACAAACUAUGCCAGGUCUGGUGACUUGUGCUGCCCGAUAAGGGCCUUCCCACUUCGGUGUCAACUUAUUUGUACCCUUGGCGGACUGAACAUGCCUAAGGAUAAGGUUACCUUCCUCAAGGCUCCGGGCAUGAAUCAUGCGGCUAUGAUAGCGGCGUAGGACUUGCUGGUAGCAUGCAGCAUGCACAGCGGCCCAGAGACGAUCUUCCUCGAGGAGCACGACUUCGUCAUGCCAUAACUUCUCUUGCUCUACUUCAUCGUAGGUAAGUACUCAAGGUGACUCGUAUAUGAGUUCCGUGGGGAGCACUGCUUCCACCCCAUACACUAGGGAGAAGGGACUCUGGCUGGUGGCUCGAUUUGGUGUCGUCCGGAGGGACCAAAGAUCUACCAGCAGUUCAUCAAUCCAACGCUUGCCACAUUUUUGCAACUUAUCAAAAGUUGUCGUCUUGAUCCCGCACAACACUAAGGCAUUCAUCCUCUCAGCUUGCCCAUUGCUUCAUUGAUGAGCAACAAAGGCAAAAGAGACCUUGCUUCCGAAGCUCUGGAUGUACUGCAGAAAGGUGCCACUACACCACGACACUCAAAGCAGCGUCAAAUAAUCUAUCGGUAUAGGUCACCUAAGGCGACACAUUUAGUGUCGGCAAAGUCCUUUGGCGACAGAAAGGAGUUGUCGCCUAUAGUCCUGCCAGGAAAAGUCUUUAGCGACAGAUAAAUCUAUGCCGACGAAUAGUUUGACUGGGUUGGUGAGGGCUAUAGCGACAGACAUUUCUAUACCAACAGACUAUUAUAUGCCGACAGAUUGUUUGACAGUGCACUAUACCAACAGAUAGUGCAACGGCCGUUGCUACCCCGACAGUUUGUCUGUAAGUAUGCUAUGCCAACAGUCUUUGUGACCUCCAAUAGUUUUGCCGACACAUUUGCUGCCAGGGUUAUACAUUUCAACACAAAUGCAAAUGCAAGAUAUAUUAACAUGAAAACAAAUUCAAAAUAUUCAAUUCAUGUUCACUUUGCAGUAGAUAUACCAACAAUUACACUCUUCUAUUCAUCACAAGAUGCCAUUCACCAAUGCAUUUAUUCAACAUAUUUAGAGGAUCCAUUAGUUUUCCUUGCUACAACCAUUGAAAAAAUACUCAAAUCAACAUACAAGUUGUGGCAUGUUACAAAAUAUGGGCCUAGUUCAAAAGAGACUUCAAGUGUUCGAUCACUCUACACUACACUAUGGAAGAGCCCAAGUCUUCGAUCACCAAACCGACAUCAAAUUCCAUUUAAAGAAAAUAGAAGAUGUACCAAAGCCAUAAUAUCUUCGACUUGAUACUUCCCGCCAUUUGACCCUGCAAAAGCACCAUAUGUUUGAGCAAUAUUAUCAUAGUACAUUUGUUCAAACUUCUGAGUUACUCUUGAGUCCAAAGAACCAAAAAAAGAUGUACAACAAACUGGCUUGGUAGUGUUGUUAUAUGCAUUGGUCAAAGCCCAAAAAACAUACUAAUCAUUUAAAUAAAGUGAAGAAACCCAGUUACAUGCACAGUUACAUGCAGAGUUAUCAGGAAGCAGCCGUGAGCAUAUAGACCAACUUUGUAGAAAAUAAAGCAUCAUACUAGCAUUCAACUUCUUACAAACUCAUGCGUACAAGUUCUUACAAACACAUGCGUACAGAUCGAUGAGAGUAUGCAUGUUACAUGAAAUUAAAAUAGCAGAGCAAAGCAUUAGAUUUCAGACAUUAACAAUGAAAACGUCGUACAAUAUACAACACAUGCUUGGCGGAGGAGCUCACCUAGAGCUUAGGCCAUCUGCCCAUCAUCUUUGCAGAGGAGAUGCAUCUUGACACCGCUCUCAAUAAAAUGUAUGGUGAUAAGCAAAGGGAAGGUCUAAGGAGUGAGGACAAGCGGAGAGCACAUGCAAGAGAUCCUGCCGCAAAUUCCUGCACAAAAGGCAACCCUCUACUCAGUAUUUGUAGAUGCAGGUUCUGAUCAAAGUUAAAACACAAACCAUCUGAGACCAUCAGUUUUAGCUUACUCGAAUUACAAAAAAUGACACAUGAAUAAUACCUCACACAUAUAUAUGUAGUUAUGUAUUAGUCAGAUCCACCGAUUGACCAAAAAUGGGAGCAUGUUGUUUCACUUAAAUAAAUACAUAGACACAUUUGUUUUGUGUGCUCGGUAGGCAAAAGGAUAGUCCUUUGAAGGUACAAUGCCAACGAUUUGUUCUGAAAUGAACGACAGCUGAGAUAAUGUUCCUGAAAUUGAUGAUAUGAUAUGAGAUCAUCUUGAGUAAUAGGCAGCCACACCAUAACCGAAAUUAUCAGCAAGCAACAGCCGCAUUUAUGUUUCGAAGCAAGCAGACAAAAUCUGUGAAUAAAUAUGACAGUUUAGACAUAAAUUUGUUCAAACUAGAUAGAUCUAAUGAGUUUCUUCCUCAAUGAAAGAUGCAACUAAUGUUGUCUUUGUGUUCCAUACACUUAAUUGUUUUCUUAGAAGUACAAGGAAAGGAAAUCCAGAAAUUAGAUCAAACAAGAGUGUACAUUUCACCACUCACUGACAUUGUUAAGUUUCACUUUCAGGAACAAAUUACAGACUGUAGAUUUGUUUCUUUUAUCACCACAGAUUUUCACAUGUGAUGGGUAUUGAAAUAGUAGAAGACCUUGGAUAGGGAAAAAAUGUGUGCUAAUAGCAACAAAUAUAUCUACAGUAGCUGCAUCUGGAUUUCAAUUGCAAUUUCGUUUAAAAUACUUCAUAGAACAUGUGUGGACUGUCAAUUCAUCAAGGCUUGGACUUUCAAUCUGUUCGGAAAUCAUUGAAUACCUAAACUAGCAAUUUGUGUCAAUUUCUAUGCUUUUAUUUGUACUUCUAAAAUUUACCAUUCACGGUUGUGGAAGUAGUAUUGUGAGCUUACUAGAACUAUUACUCAAGUCUCAGUGCCUUUGGUCUCAGUUUUUACCUAUGCUCUCUGCCUCUCUGUUUCGUCAAUCUUCCGCCAAGUGUACUUGGCCAUUUGUCCUUUUUCUUUCUUGUGCAGCUCCUCUCCUAUUUCAGUGAGCAAAACAAUGCUAUUAAUGAGCCCUAACAAGUUCCUAGAGGAAGACCAGAUUGACUUUAUUGACAUGCUAAUGAAUUGGUAGUCAGCCUUUCUUGCUCAAGUGCUACAAUUUUCAGUCCCAACCAAGUAUUUUAUGUGCAUAGAACUAGCGAGCAAUGUAUAAUUAACAUGCCACUGACCAAGGAUUUUAGAUUUUUAGCAAAAAUCAAGAGUGAGCAGCGGACCGAAAAUAUUCAAUUCAACUGCACAUGGCUAUAACAAGAGGGCUAUAUUCAACUUACUAACUGAACUUCGGUACAAAUAGGUAUCUCCAAAUAACCAAUACGAUCCCAGCCACUAGUCCAAGGAUUUGAAAUGAUAAUUAAGAACUGAACAUAUAAGACCACCUCGCGUCGUCAAUAGCAGCCAAUUGUUAUGGUCAGAGGAGUAGCCUACUCCACGCAUCUUCAGGGGUAUUGUUCUGCACAGCGGAUGGAGCAACAACAAGUUUACCAACUGAACAAAACUAGUAUGGAAGCAAUAACAAGCUC